AUGGAUGCAAACUCUAUGGUUUUGAACGGCGAGAUAGGAGAUGUGUAUGUGAAUCAACCACCGGAUUUCAUCAAAGAGGAAGAAGAGCACAACGUACUGAAGUUACACAAAAUCUUGUAUGGACUAUGGCAAGGACCUCGGGAGUGGAACAUCAAACUUGAUCGGACAUUGAUUUCUCUUGGAUUUGAGAAAGCCCCACUAGAGCAUGCAAUGUACAAGAGAGGUGAAGGAAGGGAUCGUCUACUAGUUGGCAUCUACGUCGACGACCUAUUAAUUACCGGAGCAGAUGAAGAGGUGAUUGCAAAGUUCAAGCUACAGAUGAAAGAGUUUUUCAAGAUAGGUGAUCUAGGUCUUUUGAGCUACUACCCCGGGAUAGAGGUACAUCAAAAGAUGGAGGGGGUCACACUAUGA
rnacentral:rRNA from 1 species